rnacentral:rRNA from 1 species
GACGAACGCUGGCGGCGUGCCUAAUACAUGCAAGUAGAACGCUGAAGGAGGAGCUUGCUUCUCUGGAUGAGUUGCGAACGGGUGAGUAACGCGUAGGUAACCUGCCUGGUAGCGGGGGAUAACUAUUGGAAACGAUAGCUAAUACCGCAUAAUAGCAGUUGUUGCAUGAUAACUGUUUGAAAGGUGCAAUUGCACCACUACCAGAUGGACCUGCGUUGUAUUAGCUAGUUGGUGGGGUAACGGCUCACCAAGGCGACGAUACAUAGCCGACCUGAGAGGGUGAUCGGCCACACUGGGACUGAGACACGGCCCAGACUCCUACGGGAGGCAGCAGUAGGGAAUCUUCGGCAAUAGACGGAAGUCUGAACGAGCAACGCCGCGUGAGUGAAGAAGGUUUUCGGAUCGUAAAGCUCUGUUGUAAGAGAAGAACGAGUGUGAGAGUGGAAAGUUCACACUGUGACGGUAUCUUACCAGAAAGGGACGGCUAACUACGUG